rnacentral:rRNA from 1 species
UACGUAGGGUGCGAGCGUUAAUCGGAUUUACUGGGCGUAAAGCGUGCGCAGGCGGCCCGUUAAGACAGGUGUGAAAUCCCUGGGCUCGACCUAGGAAUUGCGCUUGUGACUGGCGGGCUCGAGUACGGUAGAGGGGGGUGGAAUUCCUGGUGUAGCAGUGAAAUGCGUAGAGAUCAGGAGGAACACCGAUGGCGAAGGCAGCCCCCUGGGCCUGUACUGACGCUCAUGCACGAAAGCGUGGGGAGCAAACAGG